AGCCUUGUGCAAUGGCAGUAUUCUAGCCAAUGAGGUCUAUCCGAGGCAUGAUUAUUGCUAACAGAAGGGCCAGAUGCAAAUCCUGUGUGUACCUGGCUAGGUAACCUGGGCCAAGUUCCUUACCUACCUUGGU
rnacentral:snRNA from 1 species